UGUUGGGGGUUUACAAUUUGAUCUUAUCGCUCCCUCUUAUCUACUCCUCUUGUUUAAUGUGCUUGAUUAUCUAAUUGUUAUGCAAACUUUCUUAGCCUACCCUUAGCCCGAUCCCUCGGCGAGAAGAGCCUAUUACUAAUUACCGACUUGCUAUCCCUAGCCUCCCCUAGUAAUUAAUAAUGCAUUAAGAACAGAAGUAAAAAUAAUUGAUCGUCCUACCCCUUAUCCCUAGGUUGGUAUUGCUUAAUCAAGGAAUUUCUCACCAGUUCAUGACAGUACUGUACGUUCCCGUAUCAAUAGAGACAAACAACAGUUAUCGAAUGAGUUAAACGAUAAAAGCAUUAAGCGCAGAUGAGAACCCAACAAUUGAUAAUCAAAGCAUAUGAAGAAUCAUAUAAAUAAACAAGAGUUUCAA
rnacentral:lncRNA from 1 species